rnacentral:rRNA from 1 species
CUUGAAGCUCCCCUUUAUAGUAACGGCUUACCAAGGCAACGAUGCAUAGCCGACCUGAGAGGGUGAUCGGCCACACUGGAACUGAGACACGGUCCAGACUCCUACGGGAGGCAGCAGUAGGGAAUCUUCCGCAAUGGGCGAAAGCCUGACGGAGCAACGCCGCGUGAGUGAUGAAGGUCUUCGGAUCGUAAAACUCUGUUAUUAGGGAAGAACAUAUGUGUAAGUAACUGUGCACAUCUUGACGGUACCUAAUCAGAAAGCCACGGCUAACUACGUGCCAGCAGCCGCGGUAAUACGUAGGUGGCAAGCGUUAUCCGGAAUUAUUGGGCGUAAAGCGCGCGUAGGCGGUUUUUUAAGUCUGAUGUGAAAGCCCACGGCUCAACCGUGGAGGGUCAUUGGAAACUGGAAAACUUGAGUGCAGAAGAGGAAAGUGGAAUUCCAUGUGUAGCGGUGAAAUGCGCAGAGAUAUGGAGGAACACCAGUGGCGAAGGCGACUUUCUGGUCUGUAACUGACGCUGAUGUGCGAAAGCGUGGGGAUCAAACAGGAUUAGAUACCCUGGUAGUCCACGCCGUAAACGCGACAGUCUGCAUACCUA